rnacentral:rRNA from 1 species
UUGGUGAACCAGCGGAGGGAUCAUUACAAGAGAAGCUCCGGCUCUCCAACCCACUGUGAACAUACCUACGUUCCCUCGGCGGGCUCAGCGCGCGGUGCCUCCGGGCGCCGGGCGUCCGCCGGGGGCCAACAAACUCGAAUUUACUACGUGUAUCUCUGAGGGGCGAAAGCCUGAAAAAAUGAAUCAAAACUUUCAACAACGGAUCUCUUGGCUCUGGCAUCGAUGAAGAACGCAGCGAAAUGCGAUAAGUAAUGUGAAUUGCAGAAUUCAGUGAAUCAUCGAAUCUUUGAACGCACAUUGCGCCCGCCGGCACUCCGGCGGGCAUGCCUGUCCGAGCGUCAUUUCAACCCUCAGGCCCACCCUUCCGGGGGACGGGCCUGGUGUUGGGGCUCGGGGUCCGCAAGGCCCCCGUCCCCUAAACCCAGUGGCGGUCGCGCCGCAGCCUCCCCUGCGUAGUAGCACACCUCGCACCGGAGAGCGGCACGGCCACGCCGUGAAACCCCCCAUUUUACCAAGGUUGACCUCGGAUCAGGUAGGAAUACCCGCUGAACUUAAGCAUAUCAAUAAGCGGAGGAAAAGAAACCAACAGGGAUUGCCUCAGUAACGGCGAGUGAAGCGGCAACAGCUCAAAUUUGAAAUCUGGCCGCAAGGUCCGAGUUGUAAUUUGCAGAGGAUGCUUUUGGCGAGGUGCCUUCCGAGUUCCCUGGAACGGGACGCCAUAGAGGGUGAGAGCCCCGUACGGUAGUGUCACCGAGCCUCUGUAAAGCUCCUUCGACGAGUCGAGUAGUUUGGGAAUGCUGCUCUAAAUGGGAGGUGUACGUCUUCUAAAGCUAAAUACCGGCCAGAGACCGAUAGCGCACAAGUAGAGUGAUCGAAAGAUGAAAAGCACUUUGAAAAGAGGGUUAAAAAGUACGUGAAAUUGUUGAAAGGGAAGCAUUCAUGACCAGACUUGGGCUUGGUUGAACAUCCGGCGUUCUCGCCGGUGCACUCUGCCAGUCCAGGCCAGCAUCAGUUUGCCCCGGGGGACAAAGGCGGCGGGAAUGUGGCUCCCCACGGGGAGUGUUAUAGCCCGUCGUGUAAUGCCCUGGGGCGGACUGAGGAACGCGCUUCGGCACGGAUGCUGGCGUAAUG